UCCUGGAUGGCUCAAUUGGUGGAGCGCUCCACUUGAAAUGGAGAGGUUCCGGGUUCGAUACCCAAACCAGGCG
rnacentral:tRNA from 1 species